UUGAGAUGACAAACGUAAAUUACAAAAAAAAAUAUCACUGUGUUGUAACUGAGCAAUGUAUUUUAAACUCGUUAAUAAGACUCAAAUAUCAGAAAAAAUAUGCGCGAACGAGUGAAAAUACAAAUACACUUUUCAGGGUCACUUGUUGACAGCCAAGUCGAACCCUGAAUAGUUCCUUCCACUCUACCCCUACCCCUCGACCGGCGACAUGCGACAUGCGAUAGACAAGUAAUUUUGAGACGGUACUGCGGUGUAACCAUCACGGAUAGUGUCCAGUGUCCAGAAGUGUAUUUCCUUAACCGAAUGCGUAAUUUUCUAGUUUGAACUAUUAAAACCUCAGUGCUGUGUGGCACCUGUGUGCUGUUUAAUAUACAAUUCUGCUUUGUGUUGAUUAAAAGAUAGUAAAACUGAUAUUUGUUUAGGCGGGGGACGUCACGUGCUGUGUUCUAGAAACUUGUUUAUGACAGACGAUUAUAAAAUGGAGAGGAAUACUCAUAAAAUGCGUCAGAGCAGUAAACAAUACAUUAAUAUACAAUAACAGCGUUAUGAGGUUGUAUGACGGUGCAUAUUGUUAUGCUGAACCGUUAUGAUUUUUACUUUUUUUAAAUUAAGCCGAAUUUUUAAUCUCAUGACAGUUUUCUCUACAUGAUUACCACUAAAAUGAAUGUUUCCUUGUCCCUGUCAGGAACAAUAUAAACACGCUCACCACAAACAUAAGGGUUAACAAUCAUCCUUUUCGCUUCAAUGACUUCUCCCUAGUUGAGUACCAAAGUCAAACACACCGAGGCCGAGACACACGCACCGCGCGAAACAUUCCUCAAUAUAGUUUGACUGGAAGCAGAUCCGAACCCAACAACAGUUAUGUAACGAACUUUUUUUGCUCUAACUAUUUACAGCUAUUUUUGAGAUCGUGGUUACCAUCAACUUGUGCACAAAGGUGAGAUAAUUGAGCGAGCGACACGCUCCGCUACACUCCUCAGGCCCCGCCCUCCCAGGUCCUCGCCGCUCAGUCAGUCCACGACGGUCCACACGGGUACAAGUCAGCAGUAUUCAUUGUAUUAUUUAAAUAUUCCGUUAUCAGCGAGGACUAUUAAGAUCUACCCAUAUCAUAUUACAGACGUCUGUUCCUGAACCUCCGAGGGGAGAGAAACACAGACGAGUCUAUACCAGAUGGCAAUAUUUACUUAUUUGUUUGAUUAAAGGCUGUGGUGUAGUAUUAUGUAUUAUUUGUAUGUGAUUUUGAAUAAAUAUUGCGAGUGUUUUAGUUUCAUUUGACACCUUCCCACGAGUUAGUGUGCGCACACGAUACGGUUAAGCCCUUGGUCAAAUACAGAUAUCACUAUAAUAAUUAAGGAGAUUAUGAAAGGUAGAAAGGAAAUCAUCACAAUGAAUUACAACAAAGAAAGUAUUAUAAAGAUGAAUUUGUUACGGAUAUAGAAAAUAUAUCGUUGAAAAAUAUGGGAUGAACGUGUGAGGAUAACCUAAUUUAAACUUCCAUGUGAUCGUAUAUUUCCACAAUGCAAUGAAAUAAUUAACAUGUUAACAGGAAAUAAUACAAAAAAAUAUGAUACGCUAGAUGUUAUGAAAAACACCACACAUCAUUAGAGGGGAAGUAAAAAAAAUAAUGAAACAGAUGACGUCACGACCUGUAGCAACAAUAAGGUUGCAAGUAAUAAUGAAGAUAAUACUCGAGAGAGAGAGAAAACUACUCCGCAGAGGAGAAUAUACGAUUAUGAUUAUGACGAAGACCUGUUUAAUAAAAUCUAGUAGCAUGGUAAGUACUAAGCUUUGAGUUGUAAACAGUUUACCAGAAAGUCAGGAAAACCAAACGAGCUAGUUCUAAUCUUGCAAUGAAUCAAUGCUAACUUGAAAACUCGUGACACUCUAGUUAGAAAUACGUGUGUAUGCUUAGGACGAGUUUGCUUCUUAACACUACAAGCGAUGCGUUUUCUCUUUCACAUUCAAUAGAUUACGGUAAUACUGUAAUGUGAGGAGACGCUUCAAUGAAAACUCUUAACACUUCGUGUGUAGUGAGAUAAUGCCGAGUUGGACCGAGCACGCUGGACUAAAUAGUUAUAUUUGCACAAUAAUCUUAACAAAUACUGCGUCAUAUGCUCAUAUUUAUAGCGAAUAGUCUGUUAUUAAGGAAGGAAAACAAGAUACGAGAUAAAACAUUUUGUUUAAAAAACCUUAAACUUUUUUUACAUCUUGAGUAUGUCGUAACGUUUCAACGAAUAUCGCGAGUGGCGAUUUUUUUUUGACAGCUGACCGCGACUGAGUUCAUGGAACUCUGUAUUAUUUAUAGUAUUUCGUACACCAGUCAUCAGGGAGUCGAGGGACCAGUUCACGUCUCCCCGUCAGGAGUACUGUGAAGGUGAUUCGGUUCGUAUGCCUAUCAUAGUUACAAAUAUUACGUAGUUUGAGAGUGUGAAACACUUUGUAUGCUAACUGUGUAAAGAGUUUAUGUAACGAUUCGUGUACAAUAAUAUUAUAUGUUGGAGGAAUUUGAAUAAGAAAAAGAAAUAUAUUGAAAUAUAAUAA